rnacentral:rRNA from 1 species
GUGGGGAAUAUUGGACAAUGGGCGAAAGCCUGAUCCAGCCAUGCCGCGUGAGUGAUGAAGGCCCUAGGGUUGUAAAGCUCUUUCACCGGUGAAGAUAAUGACGGUAACCGGAGAAGAAGCCCCGGCUAACUUCGUGCCAGCAGCCGCGGUAAUACGAAGGGGGCUAGCGUUGUUCGGAAUUACUGGGCGUAAAGCGCACGUAGGCGGACAUUUAAGUCAGGGGUGAAAUCCCGGGGCUCAACCUCGGAACUGCCUUUGAUACUGGGUGUCUCGAGUCCGGAAGAGGUGAGUGGAAUUCCGAGUGUAGAGGUGAAAUUCGUAGAUAUUCGGAGGAACACCAGUGGCGAAGGCGGCUCACUGGUCCGGUACUGACGCUGAGGUGCGAAAGCGUGGGGAGCAAACAGGAUUAGAUACCCCUGUAGUCC